rnacentral:rRNA from 1 species
UACGAAGGGGGGCUAGCGUUGCUCGGAAUCACUGGGCGUAAAGCGCACGUAGGCGGAUCUUUAAGUCAGAGGUGAAAUCCCAAGGCUCAACCUUGGAACUGCCUUUGAUACUGGGGAUCUCGAGUCCGGAAGAGGUGAGUGGAACUGCGAGUGUAGAGGUGAAAUUCGUAGAUAUUCGCAAGAACACCAAUGGCGAAGGCGGCUCACUGGCCCGGUACUGACGCUGAGGUGCGAAAGCGUGGGGAGCAAACAGG